rnacentral:rRNA from 1 species
UACGUAGGGUGCGAGCGUUAAUCGGAAUUACUGGGCGUAAAGCGUGCGCAGGCGGCGCGUUAAGACAGGUGUGAAAGCCCCGAGCUUAACUUGGGAAUUGCGCUUGUGACUGGCGUGCUGGAGUGUGGCAGAGGGAGGUGGAAUUCCACGUGUAGCAGUGAAAUGCGUAGAUAUCUGGAGGAACACCGGUGGCGAAGGCGGCAUCCUGGACCGAUACUGACGCUGAGGAGCGAAAGCCAGGGGAGCAACGGG